UGGACCUCAGAUCAGGCAAGAUUACCCGCUGAGUUUAAGCAUAUCACUAAGCGGAGGAAAAGAAACUAACUAGGAUUUCCUUAGUA
rnacentral:rRNA from 1 species